UACGUAGGGGGCAAGCGUUGUCCGGAAUCAUUGGGCGUAAAGAGCGUGUAGGCGGCCAGAUAAGUCCGCUGUGAAAUCUCGAGGCUCAACUUCGAGCUGUCGGUGGAAACUGUCUGGCUAGAGUCCGGAAGAGGAGAAUGGAAUUCCUGGUGUAGCGGUGAAAUGCGCAGAGAUGUGGAGGAACACCAGUGGCGAAGGCGACUCUUUGGUCUGUAACUGACGCUGAGGCGCGAAAGCGUGGGGAGCAAACAGG
rnacentral:rRNA from 1 species